UACGUAGGUGGCGAGCGUUGUUCGGAUUUACUGGGCGUAAAGGGAGCGUAGGCGGAUUUUUAAGUGAGAUGUGAAAUACUCGGGCUCAACUUGAGUGCUGCAUUUCAAACUGGAAGUCUAGAGUGCAGGAGAGGAGAAAGGAAUUCCUAGUGUAGCGGUGAAAUGCGUAGAGAUUAGGAAGAACACCAGUGGCGAAGGCGAUUCUCUGGACUGUAACUGACGCUGAGGCUCGAAAGCGUGGGGAGCAAACAGG
rnacentral:rRNA from 1 species